UUUCCGUAGGUGAACCUGCGGAAGGAUCAUUAAUGAGUUGUCAUGGGGUUCGAUGCUGGCAGCCAGUUUUUGGAUGCAUGUGCUUGCCCUAACAAUCAUCUUCUUCCAAACACCUGUGCACAUUUUUGAGGGAGUCUUGAGUUGGUUGCCGCUCUUGGGUGAUUUUCUCACAUUCCCUUAAAUCAUUAUACGCUAUUAACAAUGUUGAACGUGCUCUGUGCCGCAAGGCCAUUAAUAUUAUACAACUUUUAACAACGGAUCUCUUGGCUCUC
rnacentral:misc_RNA from 1 species